rnacentral:rRNA from 1 species
GAUGAACGCUGGCGGCGUGCCUAAUACAUGCGAGUCGAGCGAACAGACGAGGAGCUUGCUCCUCUGACGUUAGCGGCGGACGGGUGAGUAACACGUGGAUAACCUACCUAUAAGACUGGGAUAACUUCGGGAAACCGGAGCUAAUACCGGAUAAUAUAUUGAACCGCAUGGUUCAAUAGUGAAAGACGGUUUUGCUGUCACUUAUAGAUGGAUCCGCGCCGCAUUAGCUAGUUGGUAAGGUAACGGCUUACCAAGGCAACGAUGCGUAGCCGACCUGAGAGGGUGAUCGGCCACACUGGAACUGAGACACGGUCCAGACUCCUACGGGAGGCAGCAGUAGGGAAUCUUCCGCAAUGGGCGAAAGCCUGACGGAGCAACGCCGCGUGAGUGAUGAAGGUCUUCGGAUCGUAAAACUCUGUUAUUAGGGAAGAACAAAUGUGUAAGCAACUAUGCACGUCUUGACGGUACCUAAUCAGAAAGCCACGGCUAACUACGUG